rnacentral:rRNA from 1 species
UACGUAGUGUGCAAACGUUAUUCGGAAUCACUGGGCUUGAAGAGUGCGUAGGCGGUUUCGUAAGUAGGGUGUGAAAGCCCUCGGCUCAACCGGGGAAUUGCGUCCUAAACUGCGAGGCUAGAGUGAGGUAGGGGUGUGCGGAACUUCCAGUGGAGCGGUGAAAUGUGUUGAUAUUGGAAGGAACGCCGGUGGCGAAAGCGGCACACUGGACCUUGUCUGACGCUGAGGCACGAAAGCCAGGGGAGCAAACGGG